CAAGCGGUGGAACAUGUGGUUCAAUUCGACGCUACGCGAGGAACCUUACCUGGGCUCGAAAUGCUUCGGACCAUCUGUAAAAAUACGGCCUUCCCGCAAGGGACCGGAGUAUAGGCGCUGCAUGGCUGUCGUCAGCUCGUGCCGUGAGGUGUUGGGUUAAGUCCCGCAACGAGCGCAGCCCCUGCACGUAGUUGCCACUCGCAAGAGGGAACUCUACGUGGACUGCUCCGGAUAACGGAGAGGAAGGUGGGGAUGACGUCAAGUCCGCAUGGCCUUUAUGUCCAGGGCUACACACGUGUUACAAUGCAGGGCACAAACCGUUGCCAACCCGCGAGGGGGAGCUAAUCGGAAAAAACUCUGCUCAGUUCGGAUUGCAGUCUGCAACUCGACUGCAUGAAGCCGGAAUCGCUAGUAAUGGCGUAUCAGAUCGACGCCGUGAAUACGUUCCCGGGCCUUGUACACACC
rnacentral:rRNA from 1 species